ACGGGGUGCAGCAGGCGCGAAACUUCUACAAUGCACGAAAGUGUGAUAGAGGGACUCCAAGUGCCAGUUUUACUGGCUUUUGCUAAGUGUACAAAGCUUGGCGAAUAAGGACUGGGCAAGACCCGUGCCAGCCGCCGCGGUAACACGGGCAGUUCUAGUGGUGUUCACGUAUAUUGGGCCUAAAGCGUUCGUAGCCUGUUUUAUAAGUCUUUCGUGAAAGCUUGUGACUUAAUCAUGAGAGUUGCGAAGGAUACUGUAAAACUUGGAGCCGGGAUGGGUCAGAGGUAUUCCUGGGGUAGGAGUAAAAUCCAGUAAUCCUAGGAGGACCAACGGUGGCGAAGGCGUCUGACUGGAACGGGCUCGACGGUGAGGAACGAAAGCUAGGGGAGCGACGCGGAUUAGAUACCCGCUUAGUCCUAGCCGUAAAUGAUGUCGGUUUGGUGUAACAUAACUCUUGAGGUUGUGUUGUGCCGUAGGGAAGCCGUUAAACCGACCGCCUGGGGAGUAUGCUCGCAAGAGUGAAACUUAAAGGAAUUGGCGGGGGAGUACUACAAGGGGUGGAGGCUGCGGUUUAAUUGGAUAAUACGCCGCACAACUCACCAGGGGCGACAGCAGUAUGAUAGUCAGCCUGAAGGGUUUACUUGACGCGCUGAGAGGUGGUGCAUGGCCAUCGCCAGCUCGUGCCGUGAGGUGUCCAGUUAAGUCUGGCAACGAGCGAGACUCACGCUUCCAGUUGCUAACCAUAUUCUUCGGA
rnacentral:rRNA from 1 species